rnacentral:rRNA from 1 species
UAUACAGCGAAACUGCGAAUGGCUCAUUAUAUAAGUUAUCGUUUAUUUGAUAGUGCCUUACUACUUGGAUAACCGUGGUAAUUCUAGAGCUAAUACAUGCUAAAAACCCCGACUUCGGAAGGGGUGUAUUUAUUAGAUACAAAACCAAUGCCCUUCGGGGCUCUUUGGUGAUUCAUGAUAACUAUACGAAUCGCACGGCCUUGCGCCGGCGAUGGUUCAUUCAAAUUUCUUCCCUAUCAACUUUCGAUGUUUGGGUAUUGGCCAAACAUGGUUGCAACGGGUAACGGAGGGUUAGGGCUCGACCCCGGAGAAGGAGCCUGAGAAACGGCUACUACAUCCAAGGAAGGCAGCAGGCGCGCAAAUUACCCAAUCCCGACUCGGGGAGGUAGUGACAAUAAAUACUGAUACAGGGCCCUUUCGGGCCUUGUAAUUGGAAUGAGUACAAUUCAAAUCCCUUAACGAGGAACAAUUGGAGGGCAAGUCUGGUGCCAGCAGCCGCGGUAAUUCCAGCUCCAAUAGCGUAUAU